CCCGCCACUGUGCCAGUCUGUGAAAGUGACUUGUUAUAGUCCAGUGGAGGCUGAGAGUGACCCAGCUCUAGGAAGCAGGGCUGCCCAAUCCGAUGGGUAACUCUGUGCCGAAAGACCUGGUACAAGC